AAAGGAAAAGAAAAUUCAUUAACUUGGUGCAUCAUGCACAGCUGAAAACGUAGGGCGCUUGGAACUCUCCGUGGUUUCAGGCAUCUGCAGGGGGCUUAGAACGCACCCCCUGAGUGAGGGGAUCACUCUAACUGGACUGCCCCCUGAUGGGGGAGGGAGGAGGCCUCAUCCAAGGUGGCAGGGGCCAGCUGGGCAGAGUGCAUGUGUGUGCCCGGGCAGCAGGGGCUCAGGGAGGACCCGUGCACACAGUCCCUUGUUGGGCAGGCGGGGCUGCAGAUACCUGUAAGUCCUUGACCUUGAGGGGGCAUCUAGGGGCCUCUGGGUCAAGUCCUUGGAAGCCAGGUAGCAAAGCCAGGAUCCGAGAAGAGCAGCUGGAGGGCCAGAAAACCCACUCAACGGUGACCGGGACUCCUGUCCUCCUUACCCGAGGACACCAAAGCCGGUCACCUUUGAUCUGUAAACACAAGUUGGCAGUCCUUGCGCCAGCCUUCCGGGACCGUGUUCACGCUUGCUCAGCCCUGGGCAGACGGCUCAGGAGCCCCUGCUGUUAAUUGAUUUAUACUUCAAAUGUGUGGGUUGCCUGCACCAUCUGAUGUCACUGUGCAUGCGCCACCUUCAAACAGGACGCCAGGAGGGCAGGGAAGGGACCUGCAGGCCGUGAUGUCACGCCUGACGCCAGGGAGGCUCCGUCAACAGGAGCCUGACACGCGCGCCACCUGCCUCCCACUCCCCGUGCUCCGUGAUUACAGGCUGCGCGGCACGUAUUAAGUGCGGUGAGGUCAUGGCUCCAGGUCCUGUGACUGUCACCUGUACACAGUGAGGUGACGUUCCCCGCGGUCUCAUUCCAGGGCAGCAGCAGGCUCUGGGCUGGAAAGGAUGGAGAGAAGUCGUUUUAUGCGUGUCGAAGGGACCUGAAGGCUCCGCCGUGUUUCCGACUUAACUGCAAGCUCUUUGAGUCCGGUCCAUGCCUGUCCUGGGCUGCGAGCCAGGGAAGUGACGAGACUGUCAUCCCUCAGCCCGGUUCCAUCAGGAUUGUUUACAUUCUGCAUCUUCCUUCUCUUUCAAGACUAUUUUUUUGGCAUUUGCCUUUUGGCAGAGCCGGGACCAAUGAGUGGGUGUUACAGGGACAUGGAUUUUGGCGGGACACAAAGAAUUCUCUUAGUCGGAGCAAUCUACGAAUGGAACAGGUGACUCCAAACACACUGAGUCCCCCGCCCGGACGAGGUCCUUGGCGGUGGCUUCCGGGACACUGGCCGGAGCUCUGACGGAUGGGACCCUCAGCUUCGAGCACCUGCGAGGCAGCAGGCCCUGCUCCAAGAGCUUUCUGUAGAUGAACUUCACAAAUCUUCUGCUGACCUUGAGACAGGCACUGUCGCCGUCUCCAUUUCACAGACAAGAAAACUGAGGCACAGAGGGGCUUCGUAACCAGACACCCUGGGCUCUCACUGAGCCCUGAGCCACUGCCCUCGGCCACACUGCGCAGCGAGUUCUUCCGCGAUCCGUGUGCAUCUGCACACGUUUGUAGUGCGGGGUCCAUUUGUAUCUGUGAAAGUCUGCAGCUCAAAUGUCCGGAAGUCGGGGACUUACUCUCCCAGGGGCAUGCAUGGGUUCUAAGCAAGCCCUGUGCUGCUUCGCAGAAAGAACCUGAGCAUUGCAGAACAUUGCACCCAUGGGCAUCCGGGAGCCCCUCACCGGAGGACACCAAGGCGCCUGUAUCUUCACUGCUAACUCCACUGUCUUGGGACACAGUUUGAACCAGAAUCAAUCAGGGCCUCCUGCCCACCUAAACUCACAGUUUCUGAAAUCCUGACUGUGUCCUACCUACAGUUUGGCUCCCUCGGGCCCAGUGAGCUGGUCCUGAACGUCAGCGCUGGUGCGGAGUGAGUUGUGAUACCCUUACAGUGCAGGAUGCUAGGAAGCGGACAGCCAAGUUUCACUGAAAUCCUGUGCUGAAGAUGUAAACAAGGAGCUGAGGAUUUAGCUCAGCGGCAAAGCACCUGCCUGGCAAGUGCAAGGUCGUGAGUUCGGUUCCCGGUACCGGAAAAAACAAACAAACAAACAAAAAAGAUGUGAACAAAAGCAGGACUCCCUGUGGGGCCUGUGGGUCACGCUGCUGACAUCUCAAAAAUGAUCUUCGCUGGUUCCUGUGCAUUCCUUCACUUUCUCUCCCCCAGAUUAGAAUCCGUAGGAGUUCCAGAAUUGAGGAGGUCUUUCUACUAGGAAAAUGUUUAGUUUGGAGGAUGAGGAAGGCAGCGUGAAGAGCUGGUUGCGGGGCAGCAGGGCCGGUGACCUCCGACAGAAGAGAGAGGUGAUGCACAGCAGCCCGUUAAGAGACAGAGGCCCCCACGAGGCAGAGCCGCAGGCAGGGAGCGCAGAGCAGGGUCCGGCUGACACGGCCUCAUUUCCUCCCCUACACAACCCUCCUGCGAAGACCUGGACAGCAAAGCAUCUGCACGUAGGCAGCGGGCUCCUGGCCCAAUCCACGCUCAGGUCUCCCAAGGCCACGGCCGCCCCAGGGGAGGAGGCGACACUGUCCUGACAACUCGCACCUAGCGGGGAGCCCCGGAUGGCAGGGAGCUCUGAGUCACUCCCUCCUUUUCAGCAGCCCUGGUGGGGGUACGUUUCUGGGAAUACACAGCCGGCAGGGACGUGACAUUCCUUAGCACGCAGCAGUAAGCCAGCCGCCCACUUGAGUGCUGGUCAUGGUACAGCUGCGAUGGGGAACAGGACUGAACAAACUGACUUGAAGUUUACGUGCCUCUAGGAGGGACAGGGGAGCCCAGGCCAGCGCCCCACCCCUCCCUUCUCUUUAGAGCAGAGCUCAACUGCCCUGCCCCAGAGGAAAGUGGGCAAGGAGCGAGGCUGCCCCUCACCCGCCCCUGGAUGGGAGACAGCUCUUAAUUCAUGCCGUGCAGAACUCUAAGACUGCACCGUCGUCAGGCACGGCCACCUUGGAGACUUCACCCGAGGUGGCUUUGAACAAGUCCCGGGAAAGGAUGUGUUCCAGGACCCACUUUCCUGAGAGCAGAGACCCCUGAGAGCCCACAGCUAAGUGCUCGGUGCUGGAAGGGGACCCGGCUGGCUUCCAGGAAGGGCGAAUCUACUCUGAAUUAUCACCCAGCGAAAAGCUGUGGCUGGCGUGGUGGAGAAACACAAGAUGUAGGAAACAGGGAGAUCUUCUGUGAGAGGGACCGAGACAAGGACGGAAGCAAGGGAGGGGAAGGAGGGGAAGGGAGAGUGAAGAUGUGCUGUGCGCAUGCGCUGUAUACAGCUCCUCCACACACCGCAAACACACAGUGAUACAAAUGAAGAUGUAAAACAGCAAAGGAUGUAGGACUGCAAGGGGCCAGGACUCAUCUGACCCAGGUUCACGCUGUGAUGGGGCCUCCAGACGCUGCCUGGCCUCCUGCCAUGACCGACAGCUGCUCAUGGCUCACAGACGUGGGGGACAAACACACACAGCCGCUGAGGUGACCCCAUGCCACGAUCGGAGGACAGGACACUGUGUGACUUAACCGUUCUGCUCUGAUUCACCCGUUCAAAUAACACUUAGGAAACACAGACACGUGGGCAAAGUAAGCUUGUAAAAAUAACCCGUGCGAGUGCCCUAAGUCAGGGGACAGCUGGACAAGCCGCAAAGGCUGCAAGCCGUGAGAUGUGGCUUUCAUCCCUUCGCCUUUGCCUCGCUGUGCCUCAGGGCAGGUAGAAUGGGAAAACAGAAAAGGAAGAGGGCUGACAUAGGAAAAUUUCCACGGUCAUAACACCCGGCCCACAGCAAGGGGCCAGCCAGAAUAUCGGCUUUAACACAAGACUCAUCCUGCAAGCCUGGCCCGAGUAGGGACUCUCAAUGGGUAGUUACAAAUUCCUGAGAAAGAAACCCUGUUCUGGACAAGUCUGCAGGCCUGGAAGUUCUCAUCAGACUCUCCCGCUUGUCAAUGUGCAGAUUCCUGCGCCCCCGCCGCCCCUGGCUGACGCCACCACGUAGACGAUCUGGAUCGGAACCCACGGUGCCUCAGGCCAUUGCUGUGACCGCAGGUCAAGGAGGUGCUGAGCUGGCCACGCCGGCUGCCCAGGGAGGUGGUGGAGAGGACUUGGGAGAGCUGAUGGUAUGAAAGCAAGCAGUUUUGGAUCCCAUGGAAAUUGGCACUUUAGCACACGGGCUUCUUGCUUAUCUUUUCUUUAGGGAGAGACAGAGGAGUGACACAAAUUCUUUUAAAAUUUCAAAGACAGAUAGAAUCUUUUCCCCAGAAAAUGCUUCCCUGGCCCCACAUUUGAAUACAGUUUCAGGGUUCUGAAUCCAUGCUUGGGGGGUCAGGAAAGGAGCCUAAGUGCUGCUGGGAUUUUGGUCACGAAAAGGGUGGCCCCAGUGGUGAACCCCGGCCCCCAAAGCAGUCCAGCCAGCGGAGCUGGGCAGCCGGAGGGGUCUCGGACUAAACCGUUCAUAGCUGUGUAGGGGGCAGAUGAGCCUUUGGGGGGUGGGGGGUGGCGGUAAAGUUUUUCCUGCUGGGAGAGUGCUGCGGAGAGGAGCAGGCCGUUUUGGAGGGGCAGGGGUGCGGACCCCAGGACCUCAGUGCUUUGGCAGGUCCAGCACACAACCACAGGUGCAAGGACUCGGGGGCUCCUGGAACAUUGUGGAAACCCAGGCGGACGCUUAGCAGGCAGCUCAGAGGUCCCUGGGAUCUUAGUCUCUCUUUUCGGCUAAGUCUGCCCUGGGGCCUGUGACUUGCAGUUGAAAAUUUGGGGAUGGGGAGGCAGGCCACCAGCCAGGGAUGUGCACAGUCCACUUUUGCCUCUGAAGGAGGAAGAUGGAUUCCAGGAUGCAGCCACUCCCAGACUCCCAAAUCUGGGAAGGCUCACAUCUCUUUAGUCUCUUGUGCAGAGUGGUGUCGUGUGUGACAUAACCUGCACACAGCUGCCUGUUUCCCUCCCUCUCUCCUCUCUGCCCGCUUUCUCCCUCCUCCUCCCUCCCUUUCCUCCUCCUUCCCUCUCAG